GGGGAUUUAGCUCAGUGGUAGAGCGCUUGCCUAGCAAGCACAAGGCCCUGGGUUCGGUUCCCAACUCUG
rnacentral:tRNA from 1 species